rnacentral:rRNA from 1 species
GACGAACGCUGGCGGCGUGCUUAACACAUGCAAGUCGAACGAUGAAGGAGAGCUUGCUCUCCGGAUUAGUGGCGAACGGGUGAGUAACACGUGACUAACCUGCCCCUUUCUCUGGGAUAACGCUCCGAAAGGAGUGCUAAUACCGGAUACGAACUCUGAACACAUGUUCGGAGUUGGAAAGUUUUUCGGAAGGGGAUGGAGUCGCGGCCUAUCAGCUUGUUGGUGAGGUAACGGCUCACCAAGGCGACGACGGGUAGCCGGCCUGAGAGGGCGACCGGCCACACUGGGACUGAGACACGGCCCAGACUCCUACGGGAGGCAGCAGUGGGGAAUAUUGCACAAUGGGCGAAAGCCUGAUGCAGCGACGCCGCGUGAGGGAUGAAGGUCUUCGGAUUGUAAACCUCUUUCAGUAGGGACGAAGCGAAAGUGACGGUACCUAAAGAAGAAGCACCGGCUAACUACGUGCCAGCAGCCGCCGCCG